rnacentral:rRNA from 1 species
AGAUGCGAUCAUACCAGCACUAAAGCAUCGGAUCCCAUCAGAACUCCGAAGUUAAGCAUGCUUGGGCGAGAGUAGUACUAGGAUGGGUGACCUCCUGGGAAGUCCUCGUGUUGCAUUCC